GACGAACGCUGGCGGCGUGCUUAACACAUGCAAGUCGAACGGAAAGGCCCUGCUUUUGUGGGGUGCUCGAGUGGCGAACGGGUGAGUAACACGUGAGUAACCUGCCCUUGACUUUGGGAUAACUUCAGGAAACUGGGGCUAAUACCGGAUAGGAUCUCCUGCUGCGUGGUGGGGGUUGAAGAUUCGGCGGUUGGGGAUGGAUUCGCGGCUUAUCAGCGUUUUGGUGGGGUAGUGGCUUACGAAGGCAUUGACGGGUAGCCGGCCUGAGAGGGUGACCGGCCACAUUGGGACUGAGAUACGGCGCAGACUCCUACGGGAGGCAGCAGUGGGGAAUAUUGCACAAUGGGCGGAAGCCUGAUGCAGCAACGCCGCGUGCGGGAUGACGGCCUUCGGGUUGUAAACCGCUUUCGCCUGUGACGAAGCGUGAGUGACGGUAAUGGGUAAAGAAGCACCGGCUAACUACGUG
rnacentral:rRNA from 1 species